AACAUCGUAACCUACGAAAGAAAUCAUGUUGGUGGGUCAAACUAUAUCCCAUGAUAUAGUUUGACCCACCAACAUGAUUUCUUUCGUAGGUUACGAUGU
rnacentral:pre_miRNA from 1 species